UACGUAGGGGGCAAGCGUUGUCCGGAUUUAUUGGGCGUAAAGAGCGUGUAGGCGGUUAGGUAGGUCCGUUGUGAAAACUCGAGGCUCAACCUCGAGACGCCGAUGGAAACCAUCUGACUAGAGUCCGGAAGAGGAGAGUGGAAUUCCUGGUGUAGCGGUGAAAUGCGCAGAUAAUCAGGAAGAACACCCGUGGCUAAGGCGGCUCUCUAGUACGGUACUGACGCUGAGACGCGAAAGCGUGGGGAGCGAACAGG
rnacentral:rRNA from 1 species